rnacentral:rRNA from 1 species
AUUGACCGCUGGCGGCAGGCCUAACACAUGCAAGUCGAACGAGUGGCGGACGGGUGAGUAAUGUCUGGGAAACUGCCUGAUGGAGGGGGAUAACUACUGGAAACGGUAGCUAAUACCGCAUACCAUCGGAUGUGCCCAGAUGGGAUUCGCUAGUAGGUGGGGGAAAGGCUCACCUAGGCGACGAUCCCUAGCUGGUCUGAUAUGAUGACCAGCCACACUGGAACUGAGACACGGGCCAGACUCCUACGGUAGGCAGCAGUGGGGAAUAUUGCACAAUGGGCGUAAGCCUGAUGCAUCCAUGCCGCGUGUAUGAAGAAGGCCUGCGGGUUGCAAAGUACUUUCAGCGGGGAGGCGUUACCCGCAGAAGAAGCACCGGCUAACUCCGUGCCAGCAGCCGCGGUAAUUC